UUCUGAGAGUAAGCUAGCACGCACUAGAGACUGGAAGCACCCAGAAUCAAGCAAAGCUUCUUCUUUCUGCCCAUUAACUAGAACAGAAACAGUGCACACUUUCUUUUCUACAGCCUCAAUAGCUGGUCUUGGAACUGAACACAAAAGUGAUGGCUUUGAUUUAAGGGUGGGGCAGAAGUGUUGUGUAUGGCCAAAGUCAUUACAGUUGUAACAUCUAAUAUCUUUGACUGAAGACUUGGGAAAUGACUUUUUAACAUUGGGAGGUCUUUGGGAAGGGAACUGCUUUGAACUAGAAACAUUUCUAGUCUGACUUUGACCAGAGCCCUGUUCACCCCCAGUGGACUUACUUGAUAGGGCAUAGUGAGUCUCUCGGCCAAAAUAGGUGCUCUUGCUCCCCUUCCUGGCUGAUGUGAAGACCUCCGCAAGAGUAGCUGCUUCUUUUGCCGUCUUCGGGUCACGCUCACGUAUCCCGAUCUCCAACUCUGGAUUAACCAUUCUUAGAAACUGCUCCAGAAUUAUCUGCUCAGAUAUUUCUUGCACAGUAAAUUUAUCAGGUUUAAUCCAUCUUGAAAACAAGUCUUUCAAUCGCACAUAAAGUUCACGUGGCGUCUCACCUGGUUCAAUCUUCAGGCAUCUGAAGCGGCGUCGAUAAGUGUCAGCAGUGAUUUCAUAUUUUGCCAGAAUUGCCUCUUUCACGUUGUCAUAGUUCUCAGAGUCAGCCAUAUCCAUUAGAACAUAGGCUGUGCGGGCCUUGCCUGUCAGCAGAGGAACAAGACGGACCGCCCACUCAUCUCUAGACCAACGACACACCUGGGCCAUCCUCUCGAACGUCAUCAGAAAAUGCUCAAUGUCGUCAUCCGUGGAUAAGGGAAGAAAUCUUGGUUCAAUUAUGGACCUGGAACCAUGAGCUACCUGGACAUCACCACCAUCUGAUUCUUCUUCAUGUGCUUCAGCUGUUGUGGGUUGAUCAUGUGCUUCUGAUACAUCAGGUCUUUCAAGUACAGCAUGCACUUGAAGCUGCAUUUGUUGAAAUUGAUGCUGUAUACUUUUCCACCUUUGCUCCUGGCGGGAAAAAUCUUUAUCAAUCUUCAGGUCUCUAGCCGCUUGAGACCGCAUAAUAGAUUUCACCAACACUGUCAGUUCCUCCAACUUAUCUCCAGGGUUGGUCGCUGCCAUGGUCUCCAUUUCAGAGGAAGCUCCAGCUCCUUCAUCAGGCUCUCCCUCUUGGCCUAGCUUUUUACCACCUCUGGUCAUCAUCUUCUCACUGUGGCAUGAAUGGCACACUUCUGACACCACUUGUAACAAGGUAGCCGUUCGCGGUAGGAUUUUACAGUGACGAUGAAGCGUUGAGGCAGAGUCAGGUGGAAAACAGCAGUGGUUUUAUUCUUCACACAACAUCAACCAACACUUCACAGGUGAAAACUGCAGUCUUAAAUAGUCCCAGCUGUGACGGAUCAAACCACCUUUAAUUCACAGGGGAAUCUCAAUUCAUCAAUAUCCACUUAUUUAAUUAAAAUACCUUUUACUAAAUAUAAACAUUUCUAUUUACUUUUUAUAAAUAUUUUAUGUUUUAUCAUUACACCAAAUGAAACACCACAAAACCCAUAAACAAUUCUCCCCCCCACACUUUUCAAUGGCCUCUCCCGGAGACUAUAUAUGGUGUCUGGACCCCCGGGGCAGUAUUUGUCCAAACACCCUGGAGAGGACACAGAAAAGACAGGCAACCACCUCACUCGUCAAUGAGGAGCAGCUGUGCAGAGCCCAGAACAAAAGGCUACAUGCUAAUGUCUAAAAAUACUCAAUAAAUACAAUUAAAACUU